ACGCCCCGCUCCCAGCUGCAUAACCGACUGGUCUUUAAGCAGUCACGAACGAGCCUUCGUUCGUCGCAGCCGUGAGGAGGAAUUUUUCUCGCGGUGGCUCUCUCUCCCCGACAGCCUUUCCUCCUCCUAGCAUUGGACUCGUUGAAUCCCGCGUGUGCAACCCCUGGACAGUGCCAGUGACCAAUCGUCGCACCUGUCGAUUUGCCAGCCUGGAGGGAUUUCCGGGAUCGAAGGGCCGGGGACGAUCGCUCAAUCGAUACCACACGAUGAGUAAUCGCUGAAAGUGACAGAUAAUCAAACGAAGGCAAAAGCACCGUGUCACGCAGAAUGUCGAGAAUGUUAGAGGGAAUGGAUGAACGCCCCAUGGACCCGGGGCUAAAACUCGGCACCACUUGAAUGUGAAAGAAAAAGUACAAAUGAGCAGGUCGCGGGAUGGGCAAACCUUGGCUCUUGGUCCUGUUUCCUGCGACAAUGACGACAAUGACCAUGAUGGCGUACUUCACCGUAACCACGGCU